rnacentral:lncRNA from 1 species
GUAGGCUGCUCCGUGGCCUCUGCCUUGCCCAAGAAGCCUCUUCUUCCCCCAAGAAACUUUACUCAAUAAGGGCAAAUAGAAAGUUUUGCACUGAAGAUUUGCCAUGUCCUAGAAAGAAGCCAAGAUAACAGGAUAAAGGCGUGAUUGAAACAGCCACGGAGAAGGAGCUUUGAUGGAGUCUCAUGAAAAGGGUUAUUUCCACCCCUACCCGGCUAAGUGGCCUCGCGUCUUCACUUGUCAGCCUGCAGUCUCCUUCAAGAAAGCAAUCAGAGAAGUCGCCUUCCAACUCGAGUCAGAUCAGUUCUCUCUUCUGCUCAAAGUGCUCGGAUGACUUACAGACUGUGAGAACCAGGCGGGCGGACAUUCUUGCUUGAUUUGUUCACUAGACACUUGCACAACUGAGGAUAAACUCUCUCCCCAACCCUGUAAGGAUGGCUGUUAUUAUCUUAUUUUAAAGCCUCAGAAACUCCAGAUCAGACUUCUAGGCACAAAGUCAACAACUGGAGAGUGGCAGAGCUGGAAUUCAAGACCGCAGUGUUUCCUCAGGGAGGAAGAGAGGAAAGAGGAGGAGGUGGGGGAAGCCCCUCCCAGACUCGACCCUCCCAGUUCCACACUCCCCAC